CUUUGACAGCAGCUAUGGUGAACACCCUAAAAGAAGGAAACUUUUGGAAGACUACAAGGUGCCAAAGUUUUUCACUGAUGACCUUUUCCAGUAUGCUGGGGAGAAGCGCAGGCCCCCUUACAGGUGGUUUGUGAUGGGGCCACCACGCUCCGGAACUGGGAUUCACAUCGACCCUCUGGGAACCAGUGCCUGGAAUGCCUUAGUUCAGGGCCACAAGCGCUGGUGCCUGUUUCCUACCAGCACUCCCAGGGAACUCAUCAAAGUGACCCGAGACGAAGGAGGGAACCAGCAAGACGAAGCUAUUACCUGGUUUAAUGUUAUUUAUCCCCGGACACAGCUUCCAACCUGGCCACCUGAAUUCAAACCCCUGGAAAUCUUACAAAAACCAGGAGAGACUGUCUUUGUACCAGGAGGCUGGUGGCAUGUUGUCCUCAAUCUCGACACUACUAUCGCCAUCACCCAAAAUUUUGCCAGCAGCACCAACUUCCCUGUGGUAUGGCACAAGACGGUAAGAGGGAGACCAAAGUUAUCAAGGAAAUGGUAUAGAUACAGCACGGGCAGCGGCAGUGCAAGCCACCCACAGCCACCCCGUGCCACUGUGUCCCAACCCUGACCUGGAGGGACCAGCUCUCGGGGAUUUUGAAGCAAGAGCACCCCGAGUUGGCAGUCCUCGCAGACUCGGUUGACCUUCAGGAGUCCACAGGGAUAGCUUCCGACAGCUCCAGCGACUCUUCCAGCUCCUCCAGCUCCAGUUCGUCAGACUCCGACUCAGAGUGCGAGUCUGGAUCCGAGGGCGAUGGGACAGUGCACCGCAGGAAGAAGAGGAGGACGUGCAGCAUGGUGGGAAACGGGGACACCACCUCCCAGGACGACUGUGUCAGCAAAGAGCGCAGCUCCUCCAGGUGACCCAGCAAGGCUGUUGUCUGUAUGGAAGGACACGCUCGCGGCAAGGGCAGGGCCUGGGGAGGGUGGCCUGUCCAGUCCUGCAGACAAGGGGAGGCCUGACAGAGCCCAAGAAUGAGGACACCCUCGGCACGGGAACCCAUUCACUUAGCGUUUGCUCCAGUAGCUUUCCCUCUGCUACCAAUGCAGAUAAACGCGGCUUGUUUUACUCAGGCAAGAGAAUGUGAAUAGUGCCAAGAAAA
rnacentral:lncRNA from 1 species